GAAUACAUAUAUCUUAUAAUAAAAUCUCUCAAUACAUAAUAUUGAUGUGAAUAUAUUAAUCAAUAGUGAGAAUGUGGGUUCGUGUAGUAGGUACCCGUAACAGUUGAGCCUAAUUGUCUUGGCUGUUGGGAAUAUCUAACUCUUCAGCCGGUAAAGCUUGGAUUUUUGGAAAUCAACGCUUUGAUUGCUCCAGAAGCUCUGCAAUUUUGAAGAUCAACGCUUGAUUGACUAGAAAUUAAAGGAACUGCUGAACCUUUUUUUUUUAUUGACUGUUUCUUCUGUGAUGGCAGCUUGAUUCUUACAGACCUCCGACCGACGAUUAGGAGGAAAAUAAAUUUCCAAUCUUUGUGGAAAUUCCCAAUUGCCGUAAUCUGAAGUAACCUUCUCACUUAAUUUGCUCCGAAAUGAAAAAAAAUUCACAUUUUCUUCUUCUUUUUACAUUUUCUUAUUUUUUUUACUGUGAAAUAUGGUCAGUCACCACCGCUGUUUACAUAUUUGUUUAAUUUGAUUUCUGAAUAUUUUGGGAUCUAAAUCAUAUCAACAAGUGUCGGUCAUCAACCCAUUAUUUUCUUAGCUUUAAUAAACUUUCCUGUAUUCAAAGUUUCACUGAAUUUCAUGUAAUUGUUUUAAUUGUUUAUUGAAGCAAGUAUGAUAUUUGUUGUUUUCUCACAAUCAAGUUUUACAAUUCUGUUCUUUUGCUCGCAAUUUGCACAGUUAUGACCAAAGUUUUGCUGUAUAAAUCUGUGUUUUCGAUGGCAAUUUUGCAGGAGGGGAUGCUGACAAAUUAUCUGUAGUUGAUUUGUCUUCAAUUAUUGUAAGUUGCAUAAUUUGUAUGUUUAUUUAUCUUUUUCUACACGCACAAACACACAUAUGUAUUAUUUAUCAGACAUAUGUAUUGUAUAUUUGCUAUGUCAAUGAGGAAAACUGCAAGUGGGAUGAAUCUAUUAUCUACCUGUUUCUCUUUUGAAUUAUUGCUCGUAUUAUUGCGGGGUGUAUUUUAUGUGUUCCUUGCUGCAUUUUGAGUUUUACGAAGUGUAUGGGCAAAUAUACUUAACUACUCAACGCCUAUUAUCCGAGCUGGGUAGGUUGAAGAAGGUUAGAAGAAGAAAUAAAAGGAUAAAAAGAAGAAAAUAAAUAAAAUAAAACAGCAUAAAUAAAUGGAAAUACAUAUAAUAAAAAAUACAUACACAUGUAUAUAAAAAACUAAAUAACAAACCGAAAGGGAAACUGAAAAAAUAUAAUAUUGAUAUGGACCAUAAAGGUGAAGUGAUACAUAAUUUGAGUAAAUAAGUUUGAAAAUGGUUGGUAAGCAUUAUUAUUUAUUUAUUAAAAUUAAGUAAUUAUCAAGAUGAGUCGAGGGUUACCUCAAUCAUACAAGAAGUAGGCGAUAUAGGCUAUUGGAGAUAUCUCAACAAGAUAAUAUAUUAAAAAUCAUAGAAAUCCAGCAUAUAUGAGCUUUUACAUGGUUUCAAAUUGUAAUUGCUUUGGCGCAGGAGCGUUUCAUCCUCAAUUCUUCUAGCAAAGAAUUUAGAUCAAUGUAAGAAGACCCAUCUUCUUCGACCGCCUUUUUUGCUGCAUCUCCCGGUGCUCUUGCUCGGCUUCUCAUUUUAUUGGUUUCUUCACCAACCAUCAGUUGGCUUACUGCCUUCACUAUAUCAUUCCUGUUUACAGAGACCUUAUAUUCUAUAGUCCUUUUAGACCACUGCUGAGCACCCACUGUGACUCCUAUCCUCAAAACACCUGUUAUUAGCUUUUUAUUGUAAAACUGUUCAGCAAAUAGUAGCCAUGUGAUCAUGGGCACUCCAGCAGUCAUUCCCUCCAGUAAUGAGUUCCACCCACAAUGAGUCACAAAACCUCCAACAGCUUCAUGAUCAAGGAUUAGAACUUGGGGCGCCCACCCUCUUAUUAUUAAACCCUUGUCCUCCGUUCUUUUUUUGUAUCCUUCAGGCAACCACCACUCCUGUUCUUCAUCGUUCUCUUUCUCUUUCCUCACCACCCAAAUAAUUUGCUGUCUGGAAGCUUCAAGACCAAUGCUAUCUCAUGUAGCUGUGCAGCUGAAAAAUUGGACAUGCUUUCAAAACAUAUGUAGGAAACAGGAAUUUUUUUUUUGGGAGUUGACCCAAUUUAAACACUCAUUUUCAUUAAUUGAGACCUUGUUACCUCUUUAUGCUUUAUCCUCAUUGUCUUUGUUACAGAGUGAAACUGGACCGAUAAGCCACGCACGUCUUCCCAUGACCUUGUGAUAAAUUCAGUGUUCUAAAAGGCGGCUGCCUUGGCCCCCUGGCGCCUCGCCUAGGCCAAAAAAGUCCUCCGGGAAAUUAGGCGGGCUAGGCAGAAAAGGCGGGGCCUAGGCGAAGAGGUUUUUUUUUUUUAAUUUUUAAUAACUACCCAAACCAAAUAUUGAUAUAUUUAUUUUUCUAAUGUUUACCAUAUUCAUAAUGCAGGUUGUAGCAUAUCAAAUCACAACAAGAAGUUCUAUAAUAAAAUGGAUAAUUUUAUUAUAGUUGUAAUUUUUUGAACUUGUACCAACUUCAAAUUAUAUAAAUGAUGAUACAUUUGUAAUAUUUAGUUUAAUUCAAUAUAAUUCUUAAAUUUAUGUUUAGUUUCUUAAGUUUUAAUAUUGAAUUGAAUUCUUGAAAUUUUAAAUUUUAUUAUUUAAUAGUAAUCUUGUUUAUGAAUAAAAUUAAUACGUUAAAGAUAUCUGUUUAAACUUUAAGCAAAUGCCUUUAUUAUCUUUAUUAUAGAUUUUUUUGCUUUAUAUUAUUGUUUUGUUUGGAUAAAUGUAAGAUAAAAUAUUAAAAUUGGCUUAAAAUUAAAAAUCUCGCGUAGGCCCCCGCUGUCCGCCUCCAGCCUAGCUGCUUUUAGAAAAUUGGAUAAAUUUCUGAGUAAGCUAGUUCUAGCUCAUGGAAGCUGUUCACAAUCACUCCAUAGCUCGUCUAUUCUGAAUUCCUAGCCCUUUUGAUCAUAUUGGCGAAGUCGUUUUCAGUUAUUUCUCUUGAAUGAUCUGGCAAUUGAAGUCUUGUCAUCUUUAUUGUGUCGGGAAGAUCAGGCACAAUGAAGGUUUCCGAGUUAGAUUCAAUGUUCUUAUAAGGUUCACUGCGGUUUAAGCUGUGAUAAACACAGGAAAGACAUCAAUUCCAUGGAAGACUAGCCUUGGGAUCCCAAAUUUGCAUGCAAUUUCAGUAUCGCAAACCUAGUUUUUAUUUUUUAUUAUACAUAUAUUUUAUUAUGACUGCUUAAAGAAUACCUAUCAUUUCGUUUAUUAAAUAUUUAUGAUCUCUUACUAUUGGUUCCAAUUUUUUUAAGAAUUAAAAUCAUGCCCGAUGUUUUAUGCAUCCUGGUUUGAGCCUAUGAAUAGAUUAAUGGAAUCGUCAUCAAUUGUUAGUAGAUUAAAUCUGCUCUUGCAUCAGGUUUACGUAUUCAUAGCUAAAAAAGUUUUAGAUUAAUACUUAUAAAAUUAAAAAUGAAUAAAUAAUGUUACAGGUUACUGUUCACAUGUUUGAAAUGUUACGAAGUUCGGGUGACUAGUUUAGUGGAAAAAAACUCACGUUUCUGGUUCUCUUAUUUAAUGAAUAUUUGAUCUGUACGCUAUAUAUGUUACUAAAUGGGAUUUCAUGAUGGAUAUUGGUGUUGGUCAAUGGUCAUCCUUUUAGUAACUGAAUUUGUGGCCUUUUCAAGACAGGCUAUCGCUCCCUGUGUAUAUGUUCAGUUUUUUGUAUAUAUUUAUUGUAGAUCUUCUGGGAGUAUCUAUUAAAUUUAAAUUUUCUAUUUGUUGGUCUUGGUCCUCAGUGUGGGAUUUAAAGGCUUUUUCAUGAUGUAUAUUGGAUUGAGUGUAGGACUAGAUAUAGUAAGACUAUAGUUAGGACAGUAUAGCAUUUACUUAUUAAUUGUAGACUGUCCUACUUGUACCAUGUUAUUAUAAUUGUGCCAUAUUUAGCUGCUUGUUCUCAUGACAAAAUUUUAGCUGCUUGUUUUAUUUAACUGAUAAUGAAGAACUAUUGAAAAUGUGAAAUGUGCUAUUAUGGGUUGUUUAUGCUGUGCUAUUAUGGGUUGUUUAUGCUGUGUUAUUAGACUUGUAGUUCUUUAGAACAGACUCGUCAACUUUAUUGCAGUAAAAUUGAAUAUGCAGCAGAUAUGAUCUUUUGCAAGGUUUUCAGUAGUAAAUUACUUAAUUGUGAUUCCUCUCCUCAGACGAUUCAACCUCAAUUCUUCGAUUAAGGAAUCUAAAUUACCACAAGAUGAUCCACCUUCUUCAACGGCCUUCUUUGCUGCAUUUCUCAGUGCCCUUGCUCGUCUUCUCAUUUCAUCGGCUUCUUCACUGAUCAUCAAUUGUCUCACUACCUUCUCUAUUUCUCUCCUCUCUACAGAAGCUUCAUAUUCAUCUGUCCUGCUAGUCCAUUUCUGAGCACCCACCGCAACUCAUAUCUUUAAGAUAUCUGUUAUUAGAUUUUCAUUGUAAAACUGUUCAGCAAAUAGUGGCCAUGUGAUCAUGGCCACUCCAGCAGUCACUCCCUCCAGUAAUGAGUUCCACCCACAAUGAGUCACAAAACCUCCAACAGCUUCAUGAUCUUGUAUUAGCACUUGGGCCGCCCACCUUCUUAUUAUUAAACCCCUCUCCUCCAUCCUCUUCUCAAACAACAAUGUUACUAUCACAUAAAAUAAUGCUCACAUACACACACAUGCAUACUGUGGGCCCCCGUCUGACAUGUGGGGCCCGCAGUAUGCAUGUGUGUGUAUGUGAGCAUUAUGUAACCCUUUUUUAUUAUGUGAUAGUAGCAUUAUUUCUUCUCAAAUCCUUCUGGCAACCACUUCUCCAGUUCCUUCUCCUCCUUUUUCUCUUUUCUGACCACCCAAAUAAAUUGCUUUUCAGAAUUUCAAGACCAGUAGCUAUCUCUAGUAGCUGAGCAGCUGAAAAGAGGGACAGGCUUCCAAAGCAAACAUAUAUGAUCGAGUUUGGUUUUCUUGAAUUGAGCCAGUCAAUACAUUCAUGUUCACCGAUGGAGGUGUUUUUACCUCUUCGAGCAUCAUCUUCUCUGUCUAUAUUGCAUAAGCCAUGGUGAACUUGUAAGAGGAAUCAAACGUUUGAGACGGCUAGAAUUCAGAAAUGGGUUGUUCUUCAUGUGCUCUUCAUGGUUUCUUAUUUAUAUAAUCGAUGAAAGUUGCAGCUGAUCCAAUUAGACAAUUUUGGACGUGGAUUUUCCAUGUUACUGUCUCUUCAGUGUAUCCUUCCUGUCAAAACAUUUCGAGUGUUCCUAUAAACAUGUCUUGCAUUGGAAUGGACUAAUUAUAUAUUAUCUCCUUGGCAUUUGCUGUUGCAUCUUUGUCUCAUCCUCGCUUUCUGAAUCAUGGUAAGGAAUUGCCUGUCUCCGUAUCGCUUUAUCUUUCUUGUAGACUUUCAGGUUUAUUUUUAUAUUUAAAAUAAAGUAUUAUUUCAAAGCAAGUUUAUUUCUUGCAUAAGGGAAAGGUUGUGGACAAACCUCAAUUAUUGUUGAGCAGAAGUAAAAGGAAAGGUUGUCCUCCUUGCUUUUUCCCCUUCUAUCCUUUUGUUGUGUGUAGUAAAGAGGAACUUGCCCAAUUUUAUACUUCCAAGUUUAGUUUUAUCCUAUUGUAUUCUCC
rnacentral:lncRNA from 1 species